GUGGGCGGUGUUAAAGAGCCACAGUGAGGUCACUAUCAUCAGCUGUCAUGUGGCUGUCAGAAAUAAAGUCAUAGGAAGGACUCCUAGCGUCCUUGAAGAGCUUCGUGGUGGCUCUUCUUUGAAGGUCAGAAAUCCUAGGGGAAACGGUUGCCCUUGAACUAGGAAUUCUAAAUUUUAUAGGCACGAUAGACCAGAGGUGGCAGGGAUCCUGCGGGCGCUGACACGCCAAAGAUCAGAUGACGUGGUUUCCACUGGAGAGUGAAGCCCAACCAGGAAUGAGAACAGGCUGACUUGCAGAGCUCAUUGGCAUUUCCUAGUUUGAAAUGAAAUAGGCAGGCAGCCUACUAAAGUCUUGCUUGAUCUGAAUUAGUGGAUGAGUUCUGGGACUAGUGAGUGAGUUCAGAGCUAGAUGACCAACACAGUCAUUGCACCUCGAUCAUGUCCUACACUUGAGCCUUCGAUGAAAGGAGGAGCUGGGAUCCUUGGAGCAAAUCAAAAGCAAUACCACAUUCCUGGAGGGAUUGUGGAGAUUGGUGCCACCAACCAGGCUUGAAAGAUGCCAGAGGGGUGAGUCCCACCACAACCCCAUCAACUUGCCUCUCUGGACUGUGCAGAAGACAGAGGGAUCUGGGAGGAGGACCGUGGAUCAUUGUAGAGAUAUGCACAACCUUCACUACAACCCAUGUUCUAAUGAACAUUGUCAUCACCUGACAAAGAACCCACGGAGGAUUCUGGGAAGAUGGCAGAGCGGGAGGCGCAAGGAAGCUGUCUCCCCAUCUGGGCGGCAAUUGCACCGGAGACUCAUUUCGGAACUAUGGAGACAACUGAAGCCUGAAAACUUCCAGAGGAAGGCUUGGAUGGUGCACUGUGGUAAUUUCCUUCAAUUUCAGCUCUUAGCAGAGUAGCAGCUGCCCAGCCCUCAGCCCCAGCCCCGUGGCAGGUGCCUGUGCACAUGUUCCUCCAGCAGCUUGCAUUACCCCCUGUAGGAACCAAACGGCCAAAAAGCACCUUGUCCUCCAAAUAUAGAGGAUCAGUUGUCUGA